GGGCGAUUGGCUCAGUUGGUUAGAGCACUACCUUGACAUGGUAGGGGUCACAGGUUCGAAUCCUGUAUCGCCCA
rnacentral:tRNA from 3 species